rnacentral:rRNA from 1 species
UACGUAGGGGGCUAGCGUUGUCCGGAUUUAUUGGGCGUAAAGAGCGUGUAGGCGGCCAGGUAGGUCUGCUGUGAAAACUCGAGGCUCAACCUCGAGACGUCGGCGGAAACCAUCUAGCUAGAGUCCGGAAGAGGAGAGUGGAAUUCCUGGUGUAGCGGUGAAAUGCGCAGAUAUCGGGAGGAACACCAGUGGCGAAGGCGGUUGCCUGGAGCUUUGCUGACGCUGAUGCGCGAAAGCGUGGGGAGCGAUCCGG